rnacentral:snRNA from 1 species
AUGGAGUUAAAGUCAAUUCUUUA